rnacentral:lncRNA from 1 species
CCCACUGCAGCAAAUGUUUUUCACCGGUACAGCAGUAGUUCUCUUGACUUGUCCCCUUCAGGAUACAACAGCAUAAUCACAAAGUGUAACUCAACAAACUUUGGACAAGAGUUGAGUCCAAAACUCCACAAAAAGAACACCUCCCUUCAACUAAUAAUAACUCUCUUUUUGACAAACUUUAUGCACUCUAUAUUUUUCUUGUGUAUCUAAACCAAAUGAAGACCACUAUUUAGAGUUGAUGAAAUCUUCCUAGCAAUGAAUAAGAAGAUAAUGGGGUAGUAAAUAGUGAAAAUAAUGACCUAAAGGUCACAUAGAUUACAAGGUAUAACAGAGGAGUAAAGGAAUGAAAUAAAGGUGAGGGGUAACAAAUGCACCAACGUGCAAUGUUACACUUUGACCAUUUGCCAACGUUCACUGGAACGUUUAUACCAAAUGUUUAAUUAUAAUAAAGCUUAACAAAAUAUGCAUUACUGAACUUCUGACACCAAUGACCAAGGCAGCACCAAGGAGGAGAAAUUAAACAGCCUUUUGAGAUAAAAUAUGAUGAGCUAUUUGUUGGGUAUAUAACACAGAUUGCUAACACUAUUAUAAUAUAAUAAUAAUAUUAAAAUGCUCUAAAGACCAACACCUACUAAGGGGGAUACAUAUCCCUAUAUGAAUAUUAUUUAACAGGUACAAAGAAUGUGUGAUAUUAAGGGGGAGACAUAUCCCUAUAUGAAUAUUAUUUAAUAGGUACAAAGGAUGUGCAAAAUUAAGGGGGAGACAUAUCCCUAUUUGAAGAUUGUUUAACAGGUACAAUGAAUCAUGUAACCCUCCUGAAGAGGCAUAACAUUAAGGGGGAGACAAGUAUACAAGUAUAUUGUCUUCCAAGUUGACUCAAUCAUAGUGCUCAUUCUGACAGAUGUUCAAGUCGACCACAAGUCAGGGAAGUAUCUCUAAAUUAAGUAUUAUCAACAUAAAAAAAGGAGAGAUUGUUAGUGUAAGAUUUUAAUGAAAAACAAUUAUAUCUGCAAGAAAUUAAUACAUCAAAAAAAAAAAAGAUCUGAUUGAUAUCAAAAUAAAGACUCAAGAAGAAAACUCAAUCACAGGCAGAAGUUAAGGAGAUCUAAUCAAGAGGCUCAAGUCAAGGAACAAAGAAUGGUAUCAAGAUAUCAAGUAACCCUUUAAAUCACCAGUAAUCCAAGAUACAAGAAAUCAAGGAAAUCUCGACACUUAAGGAGGAAAAAGAAGAUCAUAUCAAUCCUAUCCACUCAUUAAAAAAAAAAUCAAAGGAAGAUCAUCAUCAUCUUAAAUCAAGGUCAAGAUUGGCAUUUCAAAUCUGCCUUAAACCUUAUUCUUGGAAAUAUGAUCAUCUACUGCCUUUUUCGAAGGAUCAAUAUACUCUUGGGUUGCCAUCUCUUCAUGAAGACCAAAUCAGUUGUCCCCACUCUAUAUAUUCAAGAGUCAGCACUCAAAUACAAAUAAUCUGAAUCAUCCCAUCUUCUUUACUCUACUUUUAAUGAAGCAUGCUAUUACUUAGCGUUCUACUGUGUAAACAAAAAA